rnacentral:tRNA from 18 species
GAGCCAUUAGCUCAGUUGGUAGAGCAUUUGACUUUUAAUCAAAGGGUCAGAGGUUCGAAUCCUCUAUGGCUCACCA